GGGAGUGUGGCUCAGUGGUAGAGUGCUUGCUCAGUGCUCAAGAGACACAGGGCUGCAAUCCCUAGUACUGCCA
rnacentral:tRNA from 1 species